UUUGUUUUGAGUCAUAUAGAUUCCUCCCACACAAUAUGAUCUUUCAGUUGCUCCUCGUAUUUUAAAUAUCUAAACUUUAAAAAAAAUUUGAACUGCCCUGCUCCUUCUAUGCUCUUGAUCAUGUUGAAGGUGUUUCAGAUAGAUAAUGGAUUAUAGUCCAACCCUGAAAAUUUUGUAAACAACUGCUUCAGAGUGCAGACAUGGGCUCUUUAUAAUUGGUUGAUGUGUAAGAGACACUCCUGUGACUACAAUAUAUAAAUAUUUGUAUUCAUUCAUCUCUCAAAAGCAGAUGUUGAUGCACUGCAUGAAAAUGUAUUAAUCAUUGAUUGCAAAAGCAAUGUGGCACCUAUUUCUUAACGUGCUUUGAGAGAAUCAUGCACGUGCAACUCGGAGUUAAACAAAAAGUUUAACAGUGUCCUUUAUACACAUCUAUCUUAUAUUUUCAGAAAGUCUACCGUAAAGUGUAAAACAGCAUGCUGAAGCAGAAAGACGCAGAGAGAAAGCACAAACUUCCUUGAGCAACGUGCGAGUUUGUUCAGAAGAAAAAAGGUUGGUGGAUAGAUUUAAAAGUCGAAAUUAUUUAAAAAAAAAAAAAAUAAAAAAAUCUCCAUAACUAUUUUGGCGCUCUCGUUGCAGUCUUGUUCUUGAUCGAUGACCUUUAAGUGGAACCGCAACCCAUCAGAUUAUUGUGCCUGUUUACUGUUUCUUCUUUGCAUUCUGACUGUGCAUCAGCCCACACGUCGGGCGAAUAUUCAAAUACUGCGUAACUGUGAGCGUGAUACUCCCCAAAAACACACACACGCACACGUCUUAGUAAUUAGGCUGUAUCAGCUCUGUCAGCUGAUCACUUUCAUUUGCGCACAGAACAAAGGAAACUAAAGGUAGGUUAUCAUACACAGUCAAUAUGAGUAAUCAAUAUGUAUUAGUAUGACUUGUCAGUCUAGGUUUUCAGCUUCAGGUUUUCAUUUCUUUCUUCUUCUUUUUUUAAAUAUGCUUAUGACAAUUCAAUAUUUGUAGUUCUAACAUAGGUUGGAGAUAUCGAGCGGUGAUAAUUUAAAUGGUAAAAAAGUCACAUUUUAAGUAAAAGAUGCAGUUUUUCUCAGAGAAAAAAUGUAAUUACAUGGGUUUUCUAAAGGCUAAUUAUCCAUCCACAAACCGAAUAUUAGUAUUUCAUCCAAUAAUCAACUUGACUUGAUAAUUAUCCACAUGCGCAAAUAUGUUAUUGCAAUUUCCGAAUACAUUUCUCAUAAAAUACUGCACAGGAGCUGUGUAUACGCUCAAUAAGUCUUAAAAAGCAAAUGAGUGACAAUAUUUGGUGCAUGUGAAAUGACAAAUGUGUCUUACAUAUUUUUGAUUUUCCUUUUAUGUUUUGUUUUAUUGUUUGCCUGUAUUGUCACCGUGCAGCACAAACAAUAAAGGCAUUUGUUGCCCAGUCCUUACAACAGAUGUGGCGCAUAUAAGACGCAUAGACGACGGCUGCUGUGCGCCUUCUUGUAUAGGGAGAAAGUAUGAAACAAGUAUUAAUCAAAGAUGUCGUUUUUUUUUCUGAGAUUGUUUGAGUUAAAAAAAUACACUCACCUUUUCACUUCAGAUGUGGUGACGCAGCGCUUGUUGGACAAUAAGGACGGUGUCAGUGAAUUGGUACCUCAUUAGGUUACUGAUAAAAGAAUAAGCUUUUGCAUUGAUGCUUCUGAUAACACGCAGCGCCUUUUGCGCUCUUACUGUCGACCACAUGCAGGCUUGUGCUUUGUACACUUUGAAAAAGAAGUGGUGGUUAAUUGUACAAAAGUUAUAUUGUUAUGCCACAUGCAUGCUCUCUAUUACAAUCUAAUUCAAAACUCUUUUUUUCUCCCACCAGUCUUCUACACGAUGACAAAUCAGAACUUGCAUGCUCCAAGCAGCUCUUCUUUCCUGACACUCAGUCGGUGAAGCUUAUGGGCUGAUUGUGGGGUUGCUUUAACAGAAUCUCUCCAAAUGAUCAACCAAAUGCUUCGAUUUUUUAUUUUAUUUGUAUGUUACUGUUAACUAUUCACUUUCACAAAGCUUCUAAAGAGCUUUGUUAAGCCCGGCUAACAUCAGGCCUAAAACUGCAUGCCUAUAUUUGUGCACCAGGAAUAUCUCCGAUGAGCUCCUUCUGCAAAUCCUCUUGGUUCAUAAAGCUUCCACACUCAUUAGUGCAUUUAUGUUCCCCACGGUUGUCUUCUACAACCCAUACUUCAUCCUCAUUGCAAUCUGCAGCCUUUUAUUUCUAUCGUAUAGCAAACGUUUUGUCACAGCCUCCUGCGCUCUGAGGUCAACAUAUUUUCAAGGGCAUGUAAGGGCUGAAGGCACUGCGCUGCUUUUUAUUUCAAACAGAAAUGAUCUACGCGGUCUGUGUUCGCCAUAUGCUGCUGUACAGUCGCCCGUCUGGAUGGAGGAGAGAAUGACGUCUUUGAUGGUGACUUCACUGAAACCAACAACUUCCUGACGCAACGCUACAGUAACAGCGACGCGGAAACAGGGAGCUCACCUUUUCAUCCGAUGAACCAACAUGAUCCUAUUUCUGCAUAGUAAGCCGUCUCAGCUCUCCCUCCCCAUUGGUUCCAAGAACAGCGACGGGCUCGUUAACUCAAAGAGUCGCCCGGUUUGUUUGUGCUUCGGUUUCCUAUAUAGCGUGAGGGCACAACGCCUCAGUCAGUUCCUCUAUACUUGUUGCGUUGCUUUGCGGUCCCGUCUUUGCCGCCAGAACGCAUGGGAUCCAAAUACCUGACCCGAUAGUGAUGUUUAAACUGUCCUAACAUGUAUUUUGUUUGAUAAAACCUGCUUUCACCGAGAGAAAGUAAACUUGUUGCCACCUAUAAUGUGCGACGGAGAGCGAGUAACCUGUCAAGAAAUUUAAUGGAUAGAUGGGGGGUAAUUACUCAACUUCGGUCUGGCAUUUAGGCUGAAUGAAAGUUGAAAGUUUAGGAGUGGGAGGAAAACGUACGUCUCUCCUACUCCUCGUUGGUGGUAACGCGUUACUGCGCAUCUCGUUACCGCCCUGCACUGUCCGGGAACUGGCAGCAGAGUUUGAAGUCGAAAAGGCGUGUGUAGGCUGCACGCGCUCUCCGUUUGAGGGAUCUGGCUCGACGAAGUAACAGACGGAAAGCCUAUGCGCGCCACUGAAAGCAAGCAACGGGAAGCCCGCAUAUACGGAAUCUGUAGUUGUGGGAAAGAAAUCCAAGUCGCCGAGCCGGGCUGAGCGAAUGUGUCCGUUUCUCUAUACGCGCGCACGGGGCGCACCGACCUGUAGUAGCCUGAUCUUGGAUAGCCUAUCAAACCCGGGCACCCGUGAAGCCUACCGUCUGCUUCACACUGAAGGGAUGCUGGUCGUCCCAGACACGUGAGCAGAGCUGAUGAGACGAGUUGAUCGCGGAUUUGGAUGAGGGCUUUUUUUUCUGUGCGUUAAUGACCAGCCGUGCAAACUAGGCUAUGGUGCGCUCAGAUGUGUGUGUGUGUGUGUGUGUGUUUUUUUCCUUUCUCUCUCUCGGUCGCUCUCUGUAUCCACCGCUCCGCCUCCCCCUUUUCGCAACAUUGACGCAACCAAAAAACACUGGAACAAAAGAAACAACUUCCUUGAAGCUUUGCUGAAACUGCACUUAGUCGGAGAAUGGAAGCUUCUUGUCAACUUGCCUGGAUGGAAAUGUCGAGGUGAGGGUGUCACCAGCGGCCGGCUGGCGGCGAGGGAGAUGCAGUCGAUCAUUCCAAAGGGGCAUCCAGGCUGUCGAGUAAGUGCCAUUAAACAUUCAGUGGAGUAAUUUCAACUUUUGCUGUGUGCUGUCUGACUAGUUGAGUUUGCCGUUCAGUUGUCCACCACAAAAAAAUUCAGUCGUUUUGGUCGAUUCUCUCCGACGCGGGACACAAAGUAAAGUCCCUUCAAUGUAACGCUGUCGAAAUGACGAGGUAGAGUAUAAGUUAUAGGCCUUUAUAGUCAUUGUGGGGGAUGUCGAUGUGCAUGCUGUUUCCAAAAUGACAAGUAUGUACUCUUUUAAAAAAGACUAAAAAACAGGACAUGUAGGAGCCUCUGACAACGGGGCUGUCAAUGUAAAAGACAGUGUUUGUAGAUCUAUUUCAUGUACCGUGAAAACAGGAGGUGAAUGUGGAUCACCUUUAUCCGGGCAGACGUUGAUGUGUUGUGCAUUGACAGGCUUCCAGUUUAUUAUUGUUAUUCAUAUGCAGCAGCAUUGAGCCGUCGCCGGGUUUGCGUGAAGAUCCCGGUGGUCGACAAAACAAUGUCCCCCAACGUGAGCAGCGGUGCCACAGUUCGGUGAAACAGAUGUGGUGUCAUCGUUUUUGGUUGAUGUGUCUUAACUUUGCUUUGAGGUUCGGUCCGCAAUUCGGGGCGGACGACCACUGCGCUUUUGUCGCGUCGGUGUUUUCGCUGCAUGAACAAAGGACUGGAUGAAGCAGUCGGCUCCGCGCAGAGCGUCGGUGGAGAGCAGGCGGGCUGUUUACAAUAAUAACACGAUCGCGGGGUGACGUCACGCGACUGACAGCGGCCUCGGCCAAUGGGGGAGCCGCGUGGCCAUCAGCAACACGCUAUAUUUGGAAAGGGGGUUACAUCAUCGAGGUGCAGCGGCGGACUCUGGUGGGAGGGACUUCCGCGGGGAUUUUCAAUUUGUAGUCCAGAAACAGGACAAUGAGUAGAUUCGUUUUGUCUUUGGAAGCUUGAAGUGUGGAUUUUUAGAGUUUAUCAAACAUUUCCAGAAGCUGUUUACACUCAGCUUAUUCUUGCAAUUGCGUAUAUGGUAUCGUUGUGUGUGCAGUUUAUCCUUGCAUUUUUACGUUUUAAAAACUUUUUUCCUGUAUUGUGUUACUGCACUUUGUUACCUCUGCAAAUUGUCCUCCAGUGACAAAGGAAGUGUUUUGAAUUAGAAUUAGCCUUUGAAUUAGGUGUGCCUCAAAUAACCUAUAGUGUUAUUACAAUGCAGUCAUGGUCCUGCAACUUAGCCUAUAAUUUGAUUUAACCUCUAUAGUGUGAAUGGAAAGUGUUGCCCAAGUAUCUGUCAAUAGCGUGCUUCCAGUUUCAGUGCUAAAAAUACUUGACUGUGGAACACUUAGGAGGCUGCUGUUUAAUUUUCAUACAUACACAAAGUUUCUCAGCAACAGCCGACUCCAUAAAUGUUUACCGAUCCCAAGAGGUCUCAUCAAGUCAAUUCAAGUCAAUUAUAUUUUUAUAGAACAAAUAUGCUAAAGGAAUUUUACAAUCUGUUCAGAAUAUCACACCCUCUAUAAUUUGACUCUUGUUUUGGAUAAGGACAAACCACAAACCCCUUUCAACGGGGGGAAAACCCUUUGAUGGGGUUCUACAGAGGAGAAAGGUGGUUCUAUAACAGAAGUAUUACAAGUAAGUACUGCACCUACAUCUUUUUGUAAAGUGUCGAUUUUAGAAAGGUGUGUUGAUAAUGCUGUAGUUUUAAAGUUACAGUUUUUUUCUCCCAUCGACUGCUAAAUUGCAAACACAGCAGCGUUAGUCGCCAAACUGUGAAAGAAGAGAUUAACCGUCGCCUGUCCCGAGUCCUCCUGCCCUCACCUUCUCUAACAGCUAAGUGACAAAAAUGCGAAUUUGGUCAAUUUAUCAUAUACCAAUUAAUAAAAACGCUGCGACUUUUAAAUGUUCAGGUAGAUGCCGCGCUUCAGGACUACAUAUUUGUUCACACACAACAACACAUCCAAGUUAAACAUGAGAAAGAGACUACAAAACUGCAACAGAAGAGAGACUAUGUCCAAAGUCAUUGUCAGGGAUAGAUGUUCGGAAAGAGUCUCUUUCGGUCGGCUGCUUACAGAGUCUUUCCGAGGAAAUAUGGCAAUCAAAUGCCAGCUGUCACGUGACAAGCUGCAUUACAUACUUCUUAAUUAUUAGUAGCAGUAUAUUAGAUUGUAAAGUAAUAAUACAUGUAAGGCGCUAAUCUCUAAAUGUAAUGGUCUUUAAUGUUUCUUCUCUAUAAAAGGGCAUUUAGCAUUUUUAUUAAUACAAAAUAUUGGUAUUAUCAGCGAUAACUGCUCUGAUAUUACUUGGUUGAAUUCAAUUUAAGGUAUCGCCCACCAAUACUAUUCUGUAAGAAAAGAGACACUUUUCACUCUGGAAACUACUUUUCAUGAGAGCGUAAGAUCUUCAGAUACAAGCGGUGUACUUGAAACUUCUAUCUCUAAUCUAUCCCUUUCAUGUGAAUAUUGGUCUAAUGUUUUGAUUAAUAUUGGCCUUUGAUCAGCUCAAUGCGCUUGAAGAAAUAUAUUAACAAAUAUAAGUCAUCUCACUUGGCAACAUUUAUCUCAGCAUAAGAAAAUAUAUAAUAUAAUAUACACUACAGACAGUGAGUCACAGCAGAGUGAUAUUUGCCGUAGAACUACAUUUCAGUGUGAAGAAACAUUCCAGUUUUCCAGAAAUGUCAGCUAUAUUAAACUGAUUGUGAUAGGUGACUAAUAUAAAUCUAACACAUAGCCUACACAUUUUUCCAGUUCUCAAAUAAACAGUGCUGACAAUGGAGUCUUAGAUCAGCUAACGUAAUGAGUUGGCAUUAUAUGCAUGUGUUGCAUGUGCUUUGUUUUCGACUUCAUCUCGUCAGUCAAGCAAUCACUUUGCAUAUACAGUCUCUCCAAAGUUUCAAAUGUGUAUUAAAAUGUUGUCCAGAGAUUUAAAUCUAUCAGCGUAUCACUGCACGGUAGGUUACAGUCGAAGUUUGUCUGUAACAUUAAUAGUAAACGUUAUCUUGCUGAUAUUGACGCAGUAUGAGCUCAUGAAUGUAAUUUAGGAAAUCUACUGGAGGCUUUAGUGGUUUUUAUAUGCGCUCUGGACUUGCAUGUCGUGAACAAAACACAGCAUGAGUCUAUAUUGUGCUGAACGAUGCUUUUGUCAUUUGAGUCUUCUUUGUCUUUUUAAAUGUCACUAAAGCUCAAAUAAUGACAGACUGAGACAUCGGUAAAGUCAUUUGCAAAUAGUUCACUGGCCUUGCAGAUACUGAACAGUCCUUUGAGACUUAAUGUAUUUCUUUAUUGAUCAAAGGUACACUUGCGUCUGACUGUCACCUGAUUUUAAAAAAAUUCUUUAUUUUGAUGAAAUUGCACACUAAUUAUUUAUUUUUAUUAAUUCCAUCCGUGUCUCAGGAGAGAGUCCUAAUCCUGUGGUGAAGUUGCUGCUCUUACCGUACUUGGUUUUUGUUUUUGCACAAUCAUCAUCAUAGAGAUAAAAAAUGUUGCCACCAAAUAUCUUCAAUCACCAGCUUCCGGCAAAAAAUAUCAGGCUUCCAAAACUUAUUCUUCGAGUCCUUUCUGUAACCCUGCAUGCUUAGGAUUAGGUCUUGCUUGUGUUUAGCCUUCUCUGUAAUCCCUCUCAGCAGUCUGCCUCCAAAAAGAAAGAAAGAAAUACUGAGGGGUGUGGACAAUUGUCAAGAUAAUAAAAAAGGAAAUACUAUUAGACCAGGAAGUCAUUUUAAAAUGUUUUGUGGGGCGAGUCCCAAAAACGUUGAAUGAAAAACCCCAUCAGGUUGACACACCCCAACCAUGACACUGGAUGUUUUAACUCCUGAUGCAGGGAUACGUGUCUCUGAGGGUAUUAGUCUAAUUGAAAUGCCUCUACACAGGAUCCUGUGGUCUUUUUCGGCACAUGACCUCACAUUUAGUGUGGAAAACGCCGUAUUUGAUACUUAGGAGACUAGAAAGCCUUGAGGUGUUAACAAUAUAACAAAGUUAAAAAACACAAUUUGGGAGAAAUCGAGCUGAUCUCGAGUAUCUUUUCAGUGACAGUCUGUGUUAGCAAACUACACAGCUUUUUUCAGGCUCUACAGGGAAGUUGGUGCUGAUUCUUUUUUUCUAUUAAACAUAAAAAAUAUUCAUGGAAAGUCUCAAACCAAAGAAUAACUUAAUGGAGCAUCGCUUUACUCUCCUCAGCUUGCCUUCUAUUUCAAACCCCCCUUAUAAAUGAAUUAUACUCACUUAAUUUGAUUACUAUGCGUGAGAAUGUCUAUAAGAUCAUGUAGACUAAAUAAAGAGGGCUUCUCGUACUGUAAUAUCUGAACUUGCUGGCCAAGCAUGUGAUAGUGUUUAGCAGGACCCUGACUAUAAAAGUCUGUUUUAUUUAAACUGUUCUAUUUGAAAAGAAACAACACUUUACGAUGAUUUGUGCAGCCAAUUUAGAUGUAAAAAAAAGUUGUGUGUGCACUUUUUAUAGGGCCCGGGGGCUAACGUGACCACCUCGCAGCUUUUGUGCUAAAAAGAGGUCAGAGGUCUCUGUUAUGUUUUCAGGGUGACCUGCUAGUGACUAUUAGCCAUUGAUAAAUGUGAUGUCCCACAAGUGUGCGGGCCGGACCCCUCCAAAGGGGGAGGUGUCAUAACACGCCCCACGCUAACCUCCCCACCUCAACCAGUGCUUACACACAUGCAAACACACACACUCUGCCCUGCUGACAGGAGCACAAGGGGGCAGCUGCUACAGAUGUCUCAUAGAGAGAGGGGGAGGGGAGCCGGGGAGACAUCAAUGGAGAGUCUCUCUCUCUAGUAUGGAGUUCUCAGUGGGGCUCAUUGUGUUCUCAAAGGACCAAGACGAGGGAAUAGGCUACGUUAAUAUAGUACGCCUAUAGUCUCUUUUACUUUGUUUCAGGGUGCUGCUCAGUUUGACUGCUGCAUGUAUUAUUUUCAGAGGGAAUUGUCUCCUAUACACUGCAAAAUAUCCCUACAUUUUAGCUCCAUUUGUACGGGUCGAUAUUUACAAUGAAGAAAUAAAGAAUAAGGGGAUUUUUAUUUUUUGGAUUCAAACUGUGAAUGGAACUAACUAUAUUUAAAACGAUGACAGUCUUGCGCUCACAUCUACAGUGAGAAGAGGAGGAAUGAUUUUCACACUCACAUAUCCGCCUACACCUAAUGCGCCCAUGCAGAAGGUGAUUUCACAUUAUAGUGCACCUUCAACAAGGGUCAGUCACCUACUGGUGCGUUACGCUGACAGUAAAGCUGCCAACUGUGCUCAUCCCUGGUUCGGUGUCACCCCUGACCUUAAUUCAUUUUGUUCAGUCUUCAGUUGAUAUUUCUUCACUAAACUCGAAAGAUUUGCAUGUGAACUCUCAACGCGUGUUGGGAGCUGAGCUUUUGCUAUUGUCUAUUUCCCUAUCAUCAGAUGUCAAUGCAGUCCCAUGUCUGGUGGUGGUGUGAAAGGCCAUCUUUUGAGUCACAUGAGGGGAAAUACUAGAGAGAGAGUGAGAGAGAGAGAGAGAGAAAAAAACAAAUCUGUAAAACUCCUCCUUGAAUGAGAAGCAGCUGAGUGUAACAGCCAACCAUGCACGUAUGUCAUCUAACAUGAAAUCAAAUUACACUGAACUAAAACUGCCCCGGCAUGGCAACUUUGCAGCCGGGUUAGCCUGCUGUGGCCAGACACCACGAUACAUGACACUGUGGCUCUUGUUCAGCUCGUCUACCAGAGGACAAGGGAGAGCCCGACUCUGUCUCAACCCUCCUAAUGAAGAGAUGCAUUAUGAUGUGAUUUCAUUUGGGCCUGCAGAAAAGCUGUUGUGGAUAACAGAGCAGUCUGAGUAGCAUUUGUGUACUGACAUGUGACUUGUGUUUUCGUGAGUCAUAAGGAUCUCCUGCUUAAUGGAAGGCAGUGUGUGCUCAUGUGACGGUGACACAAUGCAGGAUGAACUGUAUAGUAUUCACCCGAGCUCAGCUUGGCUACCGUUUGGCACUGCUAAAGGGACACACAAGCACCUUUUUUUUAUCUUGUUCAUUUUUCUCAUUGUGAAACUAAAUAAACCACAAUUUCUGUUUGUGUCACUGAAGGGUUUUGGCUGAAUACUGCGUGAUCUUUUAAAAAACCCUGACAAGUUUUCAACAGUAUUUGUAAGUACGGCAUAUGUGCAUUUGUAGAUAGGACUGCAUGCGUGUGUGUGUGUGUGUGUGUGUGUGUGUGUGCGAUGUCUUUGAGUACUGCAUCAUGAUCUCCCCUAUGUCACACUGGUGUUUUUGCUGGCUCAUCCCUGCCUCUCCACAUGCCUGUUUAACAACACAGAGCUCCUCCUUACUGGCUUCCUGUCCAAACCAGUUUAUCUGUAAACAAGUGUGUUUUUUCCCUGUCCGCACCAUUGUCCACACUACACACCAGAAUGCAUACACAAUGGGCGCCCUCUCUCUCCCAGUUGGCUUUUGACCUCCAAAGUAAGAAAAUGUUUUUAACGUUUUUACGACCACACACACAGCAAUGCAAAGAAAAUAUGUUUCUUGAUGAGGGCCGAAUAAAAAUAUAAAGGUUUAAAAUACCAUUACCCUACAUGAAAAAAGUAAAGGAUAUAUUUGAUUGUGAGGACAUUUUCAGAGAGGCAAGUAGAAUUUUCAACUCACUUAAAUUUGCGUUCAAGAGAUUGGUCUUUAUUCACUUAGGCACACCAUAAAAACUAAUGGCAGGUUGCAGCUAAUUAUUUUUCCAAUGCACCCUGGUGGAGCCAACUACUGACAUAGCAGGUGAAUGUUAUGUAUUGUUAUUGUGUGUGCAUUGGGAUGAAAUGACUGUCUCUGUUUAUCUUACCCGAGGUACACUAAGCCACACGAGAUAUGAUAACAGCAGGGUUAUUGUGAGCCCAACCCAUCCCUGCUUUGGCCGUCGCAUGCACACAACAGUGGCGUGUGUACUCAUGUGGUGUUGCCAGGCUAAUCUUAAACUGAGAAGUGGUUAUGCGAUGCAAUGAGGGCUAGUUGAGGAGUGUGUUUCUUUUAAGAAAGAUUUGUGUGCCUUUGAAAGGUGUGGAAAAUAUAUCAGUGAAAAGAAAAAAAAAGAAAAAUAGGGCAGUUGAAAAUUAAACUUCAAAUUAGAGAGGGCAAUAUGAUGUCACAGCAAUUUAAGAUAAGAAAGAAACGUCCUCAUUUGAACUGUGGAAAAUAAACUAAGACAGUCUUCAAAACCCAACCCCACAUUCUGAUGGAGAAGAGUGUGGAAGGAUAACAUAACUGCUGACUGAGCCUUUAUAGUUUAGCAAACCCUUUAGCCUUUACCUCAAAGUUAAGGCUUCUAUUGCUUUUUAGUCCUGCUUUUUCACAUCCUUCAUGAUUUGGUUUGCAUCUCCUUGGUCUUAGGAGUAAUCUCACUGUUUCCUUUACUUCUUGACUUCACAAUACGCAUUUACCAGAUGUUAUGCUCCUGUCAUAUAUGGCUGCAAUAAUGUGUUUUAUUUGGCUAUUUCUUGAUUGUUUUUGAUAGGCCUGUCACUCCAAGACAAGCACUAUUGUGCUUACUGCAGAUAAGUACCCAUUCUGUAAAUAAGGAACACAUGGUGACAUUCAUGGUGCUUAAAUAAAAGAUGGUAAGAAAAGUAUUGCAACAUAUUCAGCAUUCUUAUACGAUGAUAUGCUGUACAAAAGGCUUUUAUUUACUGUGUUUUUAUGACUCCGACAAAAAGCAUUUCGUUAUAUUUUUAUAUAUGCUUCACCUGAUUAGGAAUAAUCAGUGAGUUAAAGUGCAAUAGUAUACAGCUGACACAUUGUAAUCUGGGUCAUCUAAGUGAAGAACAGUGUAUUUUAACCACAAGGCCAAUUGCAACUCUCAGUCAUUGCUGUUUUGUUGUGGAUCACUAUGGAGUGAUUUUUUGAAUUUGCCCAGUUCGGUUGGUACCAAGGACAUUUAUCAUGUUUACAGGUAAAGGCCGUGGAGCUUCCAGUCAAAGUUUUAGACAUUUAUAUUCACCAGCAGUAAGAAACUUGACAAAUGGCGAUGUUUAGUGUAAAAUAAACAAGGAAUCUUAUGCAACCACACUAUUUCUAAAAUAUAGGCUAUACAACGUUUAUUUGGGGCUAUGAACAUAGUGUAUCUAUGCCACUAUAGUAUUGACUUCAUUGCACGUUCUCUUAACCUCAUGUUGUAUCACCAUAACAUUUUUGUGGUACAUUGUGUGACUUGUAAAAGCUGCACAAUGUUUUUGAUAGGUGAUAAGGAUCGUGGCAUUCAGUUCAUAUAAAAAAAAUCUGGUUUGAACAAGUUUGACCGUAAAUAUUUCAGCUCUAACGAUUGCUGUAAAUGUUGUUUGGCAUGUAAAGAGUUAACUUGUCUCUCUCCGUUGAGCGCUGCGUGGGCUGCGAGAGUGCAUUUUCAGUGUCCAAUGAGCGGCGCGGAGUCCACUCCGCAUUCAGCCAAUGGGGAGAAUGGGAGGCUCUAUCGAAUUUGAAUGAGGAGUGUAUCUUUCGGCGCCAUUUUCGAGUGAGCAGCGAUCGCCUCAGCAGCUGCGGGGAGAGGAUGCUGCGAAUAGAGGAAAGCUGUCGCUGAGACGGGGGAGAAAACCAAGCGCUCAAAAUAAAAACUGCGCCGUUAGAGAGGGGGCAUCGCGUGAUUUCAAAGGAAACACAAGGUGGUGAACAAGAAGCAAGAAGAUGCUGAUGACCAUCUGAACAUCUGUAGGUAGAUAAUAGGUAAUAAAUCUGUAGCCAUCUGUUUGGAUGACACGGCUGAAGAAUGAAGAUAAAAGCCACAGAAGAUGACAAGAGUUGGGGAGUUUAAGGGACCAUGACUGCAGCUCUGGCAAUGCUGUAGCAGCACGGAAUGGUUUGUGGGUUACACUGAGAUGCAGGCCAUACUGUGCUGCCACAGUAAAGCCUGAACAUACAACCUGGCUGUCACCUUGCAGUCCCUCAUCCUGUUAAGGCUGACUCGUUUAUACUAUCGCUCUUGGAUUCGGUGUCUGAAUAUUGUUUGUCUGAUGGCAAAAAGUUUGUUUGGAGUUGCGCCUCUCAUUUGCCGGUCGCCUUACUGUAGCAGCACGUAAAUAUUGGAGUUAAGACUCUAGCUGAAGCCUCCAGUAUUGAUCGUGCUGCUGAAGCAAAGCUGACCACUCACAGUGAGCUCAACCAACCAGCGAGUGUACUCCAGUCGCCCCGACGAUGCCGAACAGUGACGGACGGCGGUUGCUUGAGAGAUGCUUCCAGGUACAUUGUUUACACACAGAUUCUGAGUGAACCUCCAACACUUCCCUGCUUUUAAUUGUUAAAAUAUGAACAUCUUUUUACGUUUCACUGUUCUGUGCACACCUGGAGAAAUAAAAAUUUGAAUUGG